rnacentral:rRNA from 1 species
UACGGAGGGUGCAAGCGUUAUUCGGAAUUAUUGGGCGUAAAGCGCAUGUAGGUGGUUCGCUAAGUCUGAUGUGAAAUCCCUGGACUCAAUCCAGGAAGUGCAUUGGAUACUGGCAGACUAGAGUGCAGGAGAGGAAAGCGGAAUUCCAGGUGUAGAGGUGAAAUUCGUAGAUAUCUGGAGGAACAACAGAAGCGAAGGCGCUUUCUGGACUGCAACUUGACAACUGAGAUGCGAAAGCGUGGGGGAGCAAACAGG